AACCUUUACACUGCACGACAGUGCGAUAAGGGAAUCCCAAGUGCGUAGGCAUAGAGCCUACGCUUUUGUCCACCGUAGGGAGGUGGACGAAUAAGGGCUGGGCAAGACCGGUGCCAGCCGCCGCGGUAAUACCGGCAGCCCGAGUGAUGGCCGAUCUUAUUGGGCCUAAAGCGUCCGUAGCUGGCCGCACAAGUCCAUCGGAAAAUCCACCCGCUCAACGGGUGGGCGUCCGGUGGAAACUGUGUGGCUUGGGACCGGAAGGCGCGACGGGUACGUCCGGGGUAGGAGUGAAAUCCCGUAAUCCUGGACGGACCGCCGAUGGCGAAAGCACGUCGCGAGAACGGAUCCGACAGUGAGGGACGGAAGCUAGGGUCUCGAACCGGAUUAGAUACCCGGGUAGUCCUAGCCGUAAACAAUGCCUGCUAGGUGUGGCUCCCACUACGAGUGGGUGCUGUGCCGUAGGGAAGCCGCUAAGCAGGCCGCCUGGGAAGUACGUCCGCAAGGAUGAAACUUAA
rnacentral:rRNA from 1 species